UCCCAUAUAAAGCCGAGUCCAGCUCAGGAGCGGGGGAACCAAGUUUUUGGGGUGAAUGUUGUUUUUUCUUUGUUGAAUUGACAUGGGUGGUCUUCUCUACCCUAACCCGGCAGCUAACCUCGUAGGCGAAUAGAGAGAGGAGUG
rnacentral:sRNA from 2 species